rnacentral:rRNA from 1 species
CAGAGUUUGAUUCUGGCUCAGAACGAACGCUGGCGGCAUGCCUAACACAUGCAAGUCGAACGAAGGCUUCGGCCUUAGUGGCGCACGGGUGCGUAACGCGUGGGAAUCUGCCCUUUGCUACGGAAUAACUCGGGGAAACUCGUGCUAAUACCGUAUGAUGUCGCAAGACCAAAGAUUUAUCGGCAGGGGAUGAGCCCGCGUAGGAUUAGCUAGUUGGUGGGGUAAAGGCUCACCAAGGCGACGAUCCUUAGCUGGUCUGAGAGGAUGAUCAGCCACACUGGGACUGAGACACGGCCCAGACUCCUACGGGAGGCAGCAGUGGGGAAUAUUGGACAAUGGGCGCAAGCCUGAUCCAGCAAUGCCGCGUGAGUGAUGAAGGCCUUAGGGUUGUAAAGCUCUUUUACCCGGGAAGAUAAUGACUGUACCGGGAGAAUAAGCCCCGGCUAACUCCGUGCCAGCAGCCGCGGUAAUACGGAGGGGGCUAGCGUUGUUCGGAAUUACUGGGCGUANAGCGCACGUAGGCGGUUUCUCAAGUCAGAGGUGAAAGCCCGGAGCUCAACUUCGGAAUAGCCUUUGAAACUAGGAGACUUGAACGUCGGAGAGGUGAGUG